GGCUCUUAAAGUGAAACGUGGUGAGAAGGGUUCUGCACCCCCAUAAGAAACAGGUUUGUAAAUGGAGGAGAUGAAGAGGGACCACAGAGAAGAGGGUCCGGCAAGGAACCCCCAAGCUAUGACUUUCAGCUUUGGUUCCACACUGAGAUCAAACUAUGGUUUGAAAUCGUGGUGUCGGCAGAUGUUCUCCGAGGAGAUGGCGCUGUCCACCCCCAUGGGCCUUCUCCGGCGGUUCCUUCUUCUGAAACAAGUGACGGUACUUCUGUCCCCCCGUUGCGCCAUGCUGCCCCUGGUGGUGGGUUGUGUGAUCAGCAUGAAGGCCCUGUCGUUGCUGCGCUCGCCCCACAUCUCAACCAAGCCCUCCAGCGUCUUCCUGCGGCAGCUUGCCCUUGCAGGCCUCCUCCCACUCCCCUACCUGGCACUGCGGCUGGCGCUGACCACCCUCGACCUCGCCGUGAUGGAGGCUGCUGCGCCGGGAGAGGUGGCCCAGGAGACAGCAGGAAGAACUUACAGGCUACUGAGUCGUUGGCAGCAGUCACCAGGGAGUUCCAACCACCAACGGAGUGGUUGGAUAAAGGCAGUUGGCCGUUGGUUUGAUUCGGGGUGUGUGCGCGCCCAUCUACUUACAUACACAACAUAUUGGCGACGAAGAAUUACUUUUCUUGGGAUUCCACAACCUCCUGCUUUCCUCGACACUCCUGGGGUUAAGGGAGAAUCCUCCUCACGUGUAAUGGCCAAGUGGACCGAAGAAAUGGAGGAGCAGCUGAUUGCACUGGUGGAAGAGAGACCACCGUUGUACAACAUCACGCUACAGGGCUAUUCCAAACGGAAUAGGAAGGAUCAACUGUGGCGUGAGAUCGAAAGCGAGCUCCAUCUAUCAGGCAAAGAAGUUCGUAGGAAAUGGGAUAACCUCCGUACGACCUACAAUCGCUUUAAAAAAACGGGCCCGAGGACGACGAGACAACAGUGGACCCUCGAUCGGAUGCAGUUCAUUGAGCCACACACCAAGAGGAAGGAGAACACCUCCAACCUCAAUCGCAGGGAAUUGUGUGAGGCUGGGGCGCCUGAGGGGGCGAGCAUGGUGACCGAUUCCUCUCUGGAGGGCAAUGGCAGCACACUACCAGAGGAGACCGAGUUGGACAUCCCGCUGGCUGGCUCCCCGAUUGCAGAGUCGGCCAUCUGUGCUUUUCUUGGAAAUUCACAACCUGCUGCUUUACUGGACACUCGUGAUAAGGGAGAGUCCUCCUCACGUAUAAUGUUCAAGUGGACCGAAGAAAUGGAGGAGCAACUGAUUGCUCUGGUGGAAGACAGACCACCGUUGUACAACAUCACGCUACAGGGCUAUUCCAACCGGAAUAGGAAGGAUCAACUUUGGCGUGAGAUCGAGAGCAAGCUCCAUCUAUCAGGGAAAGAAGUGCGGAGGAAAUGGGACAACCUCCGUACGACCUACAAUCGCUUUAAAAAAACGGCUCCUUUGGGAAGCUCAGGGGCCCCGAGGACAACGAGACAACAUUGGACCCUCAAUCGGAUGCAGUUCAUUGAGCCACACACCAAGAGGAAGGAGAGCACGUCCAACCUUCCUCGCAAGGAAUUGUGUGAUGCGGGGGCGCCUGAGGGGGCGAGCAUGGUGACCGAUUCCUCUUCGGAGGGCAAUGGCAGCACACUACCAGAGGAGCCGGAGGUGGACAUCCCGCUGGCUGGCUCCCCGACCAUCUGUGAGGGUACACUCCCUGGGGUUUUGGAGUGCAGUUUGACCUCCGGAGGUACUGACCAACGCCAGCGUCAGCCCGCAAAGCGGAAAAAGAAGCGUGGGGAUCGGGCCGUGAAUGAGGAGGUGGUGCUCAUGCAGACCAUCGGCAAAACCCUGGAAAGGAUGGCAACAGGAGCACCACGGCAAGAGGAGCACAACGACUACAUUUCGGUGUGCUGCAAGCGGAUUGAACACCGGCUGCGAAUGCUCCCGCAGCAUCAGCUCGCACAGUUUGAGUAUGAGAUGGACUGCCUGCUCUACAGGUUUUCCCAGAACCAGAUCCAGGAAACUGACUGAAAGGACCUUACUCCUCUGGCAACGGACUGAAAGGACAUAAGUCCUCUAUGAUAUUUAUAUUUGUGCCUUUUCCCUUUUUACUGCUCUGGAAUACGGUACACCACUUUAGAUAAAAAAAUUUAAUAAAUUAUAAGCUG
ensembl:lncRNA